CAGGUUUCUGUAUGCAAUCACCAAGCAGAAAAGAUAUCCGGAUGUUCUAUUAAGGGGUAAGCCAGCUACCAUACUGUGAAAACACUCAAGCAGCAUCACUGAAGGACCUGCAUGGAGAGAAAUUGAGGUCUCCACUCAACUAGCAAGUACCAUAUUCCCAGCCAUGCAUAUGAGUUACAUUGGAAGUGAAUCAGCAGCUCCCUUCCAGCCUUCAGAUGACUAUAGCAGCAGUUGACAUUAAACAACAAUCUCACAAGACACACCCAGAAAAGAAGCACCUGCUGAUUUUCUGCUUUAUCAAGAAACACCUGCUGCUUUAUCAAGAGUGAGUAGAGAUCUAGCCUUCCCACUGGACUUUGCCCUGUAAGUCCUUCUGGAGUGGUACAGAAAAGCUUCAGAAGCUUUUUCCAAGAGGAAUCUUGUGCGACUCUGGCUAUAAACAAUGCUCCUCUGGACCCAGGUACCAAUGGGAAACACACAGUAGGAGACAUAAUUUAUCUUCCCAUUUGUGCUCCAACACCCUGAGGAAGGACUGCACCUACAGUUUUGCAGUUAUAGCAGCCUGAGCAUUGUGCUAGAGAAAGACAUGUUCUUCCCAGAGCGACAGUGGUAGCUGGCCCAGCAGAGCACCAGUGGAGACAGCAAAGACACGGUGCAGCCUGGUAAAAGAACAUUGGCUUGAAGCAUGUCCAUCCUCAACACUGAGACAUAUUGAACCCGUAAGAAUGCUUAAGGAGAAAUUCUCAGGGACACCAGUUCCUACACUUAUGAUGGUGAGAGGUAAAGAAAAAUGUGAAAUUUGGGUGCAAAUGCUAAUAUUAGUGUAUCUGUGCCUUAGAGUGGUGGUCUUUGGGAUUCUUCAGGCUCUUUAUUUAGUAGCUUUAAUGCUAGCUUGAAUUUCCUACUCUUACUUUUUUGACCUCAUUUUUUUUACAUUAAAACAUUUAAUAUUGUGACAUUAUUAUACACUUUUUUCUUAAGCGAAAUUAAAUAUUUUCUUAGAAUAAGAUAGUACUAAAUAAAUGAUUAAGUGAUUGAUAUUUUACAGUAGAAGCUCAAAUGAGCAAUAAACAUGUAAUGCAAAAGAAGUUUGUGGUAGACCAAGUGAUAACCACCCAAAGAUGUCCACUUCCUGCUUGCCUGUAUCUAUGAAUAUGUUAUCUUACAUGGCAAAAGGGACCCUACAGAUGUGAUUAAGUUAAGGAUCAUAAAAUGGAAGAUUAUCCUGGAUUUAUUGGGUAGGACCAAUAUAAUCACAAUGGUGCUUAUAAGACAGAAGGUGGAAACAAAUGAGUCAUGGAAGGAGAUAUGACGAUGGAAGCAGAAAUCAGAGAAAUGCAGCCACUAGCCAAGAGAUGCAGGCAGGCCCUAGACAUUGGAAGAGGCAUUGAACAGAUUCUCUCCUAAUAGCCUCUAAAAAGAAUGCAACUCUGCAGAACCUCUGAUGAUUUUCGUGCUGUAAGAGCUAUUCUGAACUUCUGAUUUCCAGAACUGUUAAAACCUUAAAUGUACAUUAUUAUAUAAUAGUACAUUUGUGGAAAUUUGUUACAGCAUCAGCAGGAGUAUAGUACAAGACUUUAAUGAGAUACACUUUACUCCUAUCAAAUUGCUUUUUUUUCCCCCUAGGUAACACUAAAUGUUUAGUAAAGUUUAGUAAAAAUAGAACUAAUAUCCACCACUGAUAAAGUAUAAGCUGAAAUAUUUUCAGAAAGUAAGCAGCAUAGACAAAGGUCUAAAUCCUUAAAGUAAUUUUAAUACUUUGACCAGGUAACUAAAUUUCAGGAAUUUAAGAUGAGAAAAUAAUUAGAUAUGUGUAUAAAUACCUUUACACAGUGCUGUGCAUUCAAACAUUACAUAUGCUGAAACUAGAUUCACUUAAAUGGUUUGGAUAAACUUUACUGUAUCCAUGCAAAGAAAUAUAUUACACAGUUGUCAACUGCAUUAAAUGCCAAAGUAAAGAGUCAGACACCUAAGUUAUUGUAUAUUAUAGCUCUAAUGUUAUAAAAUAUAACUAUAAAUCAAUAUUUGUGAAAGAAAAAUAUUAAUAUGAAAUAUACUAAUAUAACUCAUUUUUGAAUGAGAUGUGUGAUGUGUCUUUUUGCCUUUACAUCGUCCUGAUAUUUUUUCAUUUUUUCAUGAAGGGUUAGUACAUUACUUCCAUAAUCAUAAAAAGUAAAUAUGAAAUGUAUAUUUAACAUGUUAUUAUGAGGAAACUCAAUAAAUAAAGCAUAUCAUCACUGUUAUGCUGGAAACGAAUGCUGUAAGCCCAGAAUCCUCACAGUAAGAUAGCAUCAUUCUGUUAACUGAUAGUUGGAAAGCUAUUGGCUGGUAUGUCUGUCAAUUCAAUUGUUAAUCUGUAUUCUGUAUAUUUUUUAAUAUUAAAAAUCAUUUUAAAAUGUAAACUCCAUUAUUGUUAUAAUUUUAAAAAUUAACUAAGGUGCCAGGAGUUGUGAAUCAUCACCACAGGGUUAACAAUAAGAAGUUAUAUGACUUUCAACUCUUUCCUUUAACCUUCUGGAAUACAAUUUUCUCACCUAAAAAACAAAGAUGUUUCAUUAGAUGAUUAGUCGAUUAAUUUAUGGUUUUCCAAUUGUGACUCUUGUAAGGAUCUAAAAUAUUUAUGCCGCACACCUCUUCUGAGAAGAAACUGUCGUUGCUCCAAUAUUCCUGCCUACAUCUAACAAUAUUCCCCGUAAAUUACUCUGUAAUCCUUUUUCACUCCUUACAUGCCUUCAUGUCUCUUCUAGUAGAUUAGAUAACGAUGUAUGUUCCACUCUGAGCAGGUAUAUUCAGACCUACCUAUAAAGGUCAAGGGAGCUGAGAGGCCAAAGAAAGGGACUGACAAAUCCAGUUUCUCAGAAAGAAACUGUCAGGCCUCUGAGCCCAAGCCAACCAUCCCAGC
rnacentral:lncRNA from 10 species